rnacentral:misc_RNA from 1 species
AAGACAUACAACACUAGCUACAAGGACAAGAAACCAAUGGCACCUUCUCAGUUAGAUCGCCUGGCCAGGAUCGGACGUGAAGGUUUUGCUCUAAUAGACGAGUGCUAUGGUCGGACCAACGCGAGCGAUAGAUCUGGCAUCAGCAGAAUUCAAAACAAUUAUCACAGCCACAGCCAGUACCAACAGCCUUUAGUUUAUCAUGGGCCUCAAAUUUCAACGGUGAGGGUGCCAGUCGUCACCAGCAACUACGAGAUAGCUCAACACUACUAUACUGGCAUGGCAGCGGGAGAGCCUGUCAUCACUAGCGACAAGGCAGCGGAAAAUUAUGAUGGCUUUUCGAUUGUUGAACAUGGUAGGAGAUAUCCUUUUCGCAGGGCUAAUAAUUAUUAGAGUUGAAGGUACCAUAGAUCUUAGUGUUUCUUGAUAGUUUUUUUAAAGAGAUGCAUGGCGUGGUUGGUAUAUGAUCGAGUUACGUACUGGCUUACUGCUGAAUGAGAGAAUGUAAGCCUCUUGUAUUGAAAGUUCGAGUGCAGUGAGUAUUAGUCUAUAGAUAUAGCUAGCUAAGUUUGCAUGGACCCAAAAUCAUCCUGUGGUAUGAAAAAAAAAAUGUAGCAAGAGGGUUGUAUUUUG